AAGUAGGAGACGAGGUUAAGAAGACUGGCUGGCACCAAAGGGUACCUGACAAAGGCACUGGGGUGAGUGGCUGCAACAGGCUAAAAUAAAGAUUAAUUUCCCCUUUCAGAGCCAUGCACCCUGACCUGAGGCUGCAAUAGCCAUUGGAAAUGGUGCGUCUGGCUCUGUGUCUGCUGGCUGCUGCCCUGGGGACAGGAUGGAAGAAGGCCUCUAAGGCCAGGAAGUUAAUUCAGUUGAUAAUAAGGAGCCUGAUGAGAGUUUGGAAACAGGAGAGUGACGUAUAGAAUUGAGUUAGGCUGAAGGACGAAUUAAUUUAUGAGCCAGACACUGAGAGAGAGGCGAUGUGGGGCUAUUCCAAGGUUAACUGAGAAACUCUGAGAUGAACCAGUGUCCAUAUUUACAGGAUGAAGGGGAGAUGGGAGACUAGAAAACAGAAAUUGCUCAAAAAGGAAUUGAGCCCUUUGGAUGGGAAACAGGAACUCUGGUGGAAUGCAGGAGGAAGGAUUGAGCAAGAGAGAAGCAGCUGCCAACCUAUCCGAAUGGAAACAAACACCUUGAACACGACAGUGGACUUGAAAUGUUACUAAACUUUUUGGCAGGUUUCUCCCCACUAACAAGCCCGAUGCAGGAAUACAAGAAAAGAAUUAUUUCCCUUCCCCACUGCUGUGGUGUUUUCAGCUGAAGACAGUCUCAUGGAAGCAUCGACUGUCCCAAGUGGCUGACGAAUGCAGGAAGUUUGUGAAGUUGCGUUUCCCAGCAAGUGUUUUGUCCUUGGAAAGUCUUUCCCCGCCUCAGCCUUCUGCAUAAGGACUUCCCUGACAUCGAUAACAAGGUCCAUCCUCUCAUGAGGAAAGACGGCCGUGCCAGCAAAGUAUCCAGUGAAGGAAGCAGGACGUCCUGCUCAGAAGUCGCUCUUCCCCAGCCUGCCUGUGAACUUGGAAUUCAUUGCCUACUCUUAUCUCUGCAUAAAGCAGGGGAAGAGGUUCCAGAAUAAAUAAUAAAUACUGAUUGACAUUUGGAGUAAAUUGAGGACUUUGACACUUAUUAUUUUGAUCCUCUAGGGAAGCUGCCCUGGAGAGACAGCUCUACAAUCACUGUGAGCUCCAGAUUACCCUACCAGGGACAAGAUCACAUGUCAGAGCUUGGCCCCUCUUGGGGAACUCUGUCCACUCCCGAUAUGUGACCACCCUAGCUCACAGUCCGAGGUCCCUGAUGUGCUCAGAGCUGGGAGGUGACUGCCUGUGAGUGAGCCCACAUUCAAUGGUAAACUAUGUCUGAAAGAGACAAAAACAUGGCCAGAACUCUGGAUUCAAACACCUAGAUCCCAGAUAAGGGGCCUCUUGAGGCCAAAGCUACCCUUCCUCAAGGCUGCGGAGAGAAAUUCAGGCAUAGAGGAAAAGCCCAGAAGGGAUAAUUUAUGACUUGGACUUUGACCCAACCUCAGAUGUGGAGAUCAGCAAGAACUCCUUUAUCUCCAAGGCCAAAGGAAGGGAAGAGGAAGGCAGAAGUGCUCUUUGGAGCUGGGGCCCAUUGGGAAUUCAAGGAGAGCUCUGAGGCAUCCUCCACAGGACACAGUGUGCAGUCACUCAACAGUGUGCAUGUGAUUGCCAAGGUUUAUGGGUCCAAUCCUACCCAUCUAGGGACCUCAGUUGGAAAACCCAUGACCCAUAAUGAAACUGGAUGACCACUUCCUCACCCCUUUCCCUCAGCCCUCACAGAGGAAGAAUAAGAGACUGACAA